rnacentral:lncRNA from 1 species
UUUUAUCAUCUUUUGUAUUUGAUGACUAGUAAUGUAAAGAAAAGAAUGUAAUGUGUAUUUUGAGGUAAAUGGGAUGUAAGAAAGAAAUGAUGAAAUGAAAUGUAAGGAAUUCGAAAAUGAACAAGAUGAAUGCAAGGUAUAUGAUCAAAAGUGAAUCAUAGUACAAGUGAAUGUUAGUUUCCCUUUUCUUUCACUAAUGGCUAUUGCUUACCCUCGUGUAAGCCGUUUAUGUAUGUUUCCGCUAGUGCUUUUCUCUAUCGAUGAAAAUGUACAUGUGAUGAGCCUUGGGCGGAUAGGGAAAACUCUGUCCGUUCGGCGUCUGUUUG